AGAUCGGAAGAGGAGUUGAGACAACCUUACCUGUUCCAGGAUAUUUUUAAAGGCAGCAAAACUGGUUGAGCAACUGAAACUGUAUAGUUGUUAGUCUUACCAGGUACUUAAAAAAAAAAAAAAAAAAAAAACACACACACACACACAUACACACACACAAACCUUACCGGUAUAACGAAUCAUGAAAACAUAAACAGGAAAGUCUUUACCAGGGACUGGAAGAGGGCUUGUGCGCCCAAGAAGAACUGUGGGGGCUCAGAUCAAUUCAGUCUGUGGGAGUGAGAAGCGGGGACUUUGCCCCAUCACUUAAAUCACUCACGUGGUGAGCGGGUGGCAAACUCCAGGCACCUGCGAGCUCUCGGUUCCCCCGUGCAGUUCUUGGCUCCCUGUUUUUUCCCAUAUUGAGCCUAUUGAGAAAAAGGUGUCAAGUUUGCAGUGCAGAGGAAGACUCUCGAGAGGAAAACUUUUAUUUGACCAAUAGAUCUGGGCCUUUCAGUCCCUUUUUAUGCUUUAAAUCUAUAAAUCUAAAAUUGCCCAAGAAAUCCUGAAGAUGGGUGUAACGUUUACUUUUGGGAAGAUGGGAUGAAGCAUGCUGUGGAAGUAACUGCAUCAUAAAGAUGAAAGGACACGUAUUAGGCGGACAAUCUUCUCUCAGGAAGCUGGGCAGGGCAGCCGGCCACAGCUCCCAUCAGCCAUCACACAUAUGGUGAUGUAAAGAUAUAAAAUCCGAAGCAUAGCUUAAAUGAUUAAACAUUACAGGUUCAAAGGAGAAAAGCUUAAUGAUGCCUCCGUAAUGUGAAUGGUAAAAACAUCAAUUACAGACUCGGUGGACUGAUGGACAGCCGCGUUUAAAGGGAAGGGACCUAUAAAGCCUAUAAAGCCGGGGAAGCCGCCCUCCUCUGAUGAGUCAGAGGUUACUAAUAAGUAACCUAAGGAGGAACUCCUAGUGGCAACGGAGUGGCAAGACAUUCUUGUCUCUUCAUCACUGGCAAGACGUCUGGAGGGGAACACCGGUGGACAAAAACUCACCAGGGACACCUGGACAACGAUUCACUAAUUCAGUUUAAGUCACAAGUUGUGCUCCUGUUCCCUUAGCCAAGGGGCAAGCUCGUCAAUAUGGAAAAGACCGCUUGGAGUUGCCUCGGUGUCUGAGGCAAUAGUAAUUGUCUACAACCCCACCCCCACCCCCAACCUCUUACAGCUUUGUAUGUUCUCCAGACCCUGAACUUUUCCCUCACUGCUCAUCCCCGAGCCUCUCAGUGCCUGGCAAGGAGCCAGCGUUCAGCACAUCUUGGGGGAACCGAUGGGAGGGGGCAAGUUGCUGUGCAA